rnacentral:rRNA from 1 species
CGUGUAGGCGGCCUAUGCAAGUCGGGUGUGAAAGCCCUCGGCUCAACUGAGGAAGUGCACCCGAAACUACGUGGCUGGGAGUCCUGGGAGAGGAAGGUGGAAUGCUCGGUGUAGAGGUGAAAUUCGUAGAUAUCGAGCGGAACACCGGUGGCGAAGGCGGCCUUCUGGACAGUGACUGACGCUGAGACGCGAAAGCGUGGGGAGCAAACAGGAUUAGAUACCCUGGUAGUCCACGCUGUAAACGAUGAGUGCUAGGUGUCACGGGCUUUGACCCUCGUGGUGCCGAAGCUAACGCGUUAAGCACUCCGCCUGGGGAGUACGGCCGCAAGGCUAAA